rnacentral:rRNA from 1 species
GGGGAAUCUUGCACAAUGGAGGAAACUCUGAUGCAGCCAUGCCGCGUGAGUGAAGAAGGCCCUUGGGUUGUAAAGCUCUUUCGUCUGGGAAGAAAAUGACUGUACCCGAAUAAGAAGCCCCGGCUAACUUCGUGCCAGCAGCCGCGGUAAUA